rfam:Triticum aestivum genome assembly, contig: Triticum_aestivum_CS42_TGACv1_scaffold_225876_3B
AAAAUACUUCCUCCAUCCGGAAAUACUUGUCACCAAAAUGAAUAAAAUGAGAUGUAUCUAGAUGUAUUUUAGUUCUGGAUAUAUCCUAUUGUAUCCAUUUUGAUGACAAGUAUUUUCGGACGGAAGGAGUAAAUC